rnacentral:rRNA from 1 species
UACGUAGGGACCAAGCGUUGUUCGGAUUUACUGGGCGUAAAGGGCGCGUAGGCGGCAAUUCAAGUCAUCUGUGAAAUCUCCGGGCUUAACUCGGAACGGUCAGAUGAUACUGCUUUGCUAGAGUACAGAAGGGGCAAUCGGAAUUCUUGGUGUAGCGGUGAAAUGCGUAGAUAUCAGGAAGAACACCUAUGGCGAAGGCAGCUCUCUGGGACGGUACUGACGCUGAGACGCGAAAGCGUGGGGAGCGAACAGG